GUGUCAGCAGCCGCGGUAAUACGAGAGGCCCAAACAUUAUUCGGAUUUACUGGGCUUAAAGAGUUCGUAGGCGGCGCGGAAAGUGGGGUGUGAAAGCCCUCGGCUCAACCGAGGAAUUGCGCUCCAAACUACCGUGCUUGAGGAAGCUAGAGGUGAGCGGAACUGAUGGUGGAGCGGUGAAAUGCGUUGAUAUCAUCAGGAACACCGGAGGCGAAGGCGGCUCACUGGGGCUUUUCUGACGCUGAGGAACGAAAGCCAGGGGAGCGAACGGGAUUAGAUACCCCGGUAGUCC
rnacentral:rRNA from 1 species